rnacentral:rRNA from 1 species
UGGGGAAUAUUGGACAAUGGGCGCAAGCCUGAUCCAGCCAUGCCGCGUGAGUGACGAAGGCCUUAGGGUUGUAAAGCUCUUUUGGCGGGGAAGAUAAUGACGGUACCCGCAGAAUAAGCUCCGGCUAACUUCGUGCCAGCAGCCGCGGUAAUACGAAGGGAGCUAGCGUUGUUCGGAAUCACUGGGCGUAAAGCGCACGUAGGUGGGCAGUUAAGUCAGGGGUGAAAGCCCGAGGCUCAACCUCGGAAUUGCCUCUGAUACUGGCUGUCUAGAGUUCGAGAGAGGUGAGUGGAAUUCCUAGUGUAGAGGUGAAAUUCGUAGAUAUUGGGAAGAACACCGGUGGCGAAGGCGGCUCACUGGCUCGUUUCUGACGCUGUAGCGCGAAAGCGUGGGGAUCAAACAGGAUUAGAUACCCCAGUAGUCCCUGAGCGGGCUGGCAAGGCGCAU